rnacentral:piRNA from 1 species
UAGACAUGAUAACACAGGCACUACUUUA